AGGUGAGAUUUCUUCGCCUAUUGGAUCCUUUUCCUGCUUUGGGCCACGCAAGAUUCUUUGCUUGUGCUUUUUGAGGAUAGCUGCAGCUUUCUCGCUGCGUUAUUUUUCGUGUGCUGCCUGGGUGAAACUUGAACUGGGUCAGAUUCUCUUUUGGCAAAGAUUGCUAGUUAUUUCUUAUACUGUCAUCUUGGCACCCAGUUUUGAACUGGGUCCAUUUUUUCUGUUAAAAAUCCAGCGGUACAUAGGAGCAAAUGGUUGAUGGGUGUUGAUUAUGUUACUUGUUUUUUUAGGUUAUAAUUUGGGGCCGUGAUUAGCAAUCAUAUUCAAUGGUGUUUUAGUGUUGGAUGAUAGAAUUGAGGUUUUGAUUGUGUAUAUUAUUUCCUGGUUUCAUCUUUAUAUACUCCUGAGGCAUGGCGGGGAUUGAUAUUUCAAAAUAUUUCCAUAGUCCUGUGCACAAGGCCAUUGCAACGAGAGAUUAUGCCAGUCUCAGGAAGAUACUUGCUGGCCUUCCACGACUUUGUGACCCCGCUGAGAUUCGGACAGAGGCGGUCUCAUUGGUCGAGGAAGAGAACGCUGAUGCCAUCUCUGCUGUGGUUGAUAGGCGUGAUGUCCCAAACCGUGACACUCCUCUUCACUUGGCUGUCAAAUUGGGAGAUGAGACUGCAACCGAGAUGCUUAUGGUUGCUGGUGCUGAUUGGAGCUUGCAGAAUGAGCUGGGGUGGAGUCCACUUCAAGAAGCCAUUUGCAAUAGAGAAGAAGGGAUAGCAAUGAUCAUAGUAAGGCACUACCAGCCAUUGGCUUGGGCAAAAUGGUGUAGGAGGUUGCCUCGUUUGGUGGGGACCAUGCGAAGGAUGAGAGACUUCUAUAUGGAAAUUACGUUCCAUUUUGAGAGUUCUGUCAUACCUUUCAUUUCAAGGAUUGCACCUUCAGAUACUUACAAAAUUUGGAAGAGAGGUGCAAAUUUGAGGGCAGACAUGACUUUGGCUGGUUUUGAUGGUUUUCGGAUUCAGCGAUCAGAUCAGAGUAUACUGUUCUUUGGCGAUGGCUCUGAGGAUGGGAAAGUCCCUCCUGGAUCACUUUGCAUGGUCUCACAUAAGGAGAAGGAGGUGAUGAAUGCUUUGGAUGGUGCUGGUUCUCCAGCAACUGAAGAAGAGGUUCGGCAAGAGGUGACUGCAAUGUCUCAGACUAAUAUAUUCAGGCCUGGAAUUGAUGUGACCCAGGCAGUUCUUUUGCCUCAGUUGACUUGGAGACGGCAGGAAAAAACAGAACUAGUGGGCCUAUGGAAAUCAAAGGUCUAUGAUAUGCACAAUGUGGUUGUUAGCAUCAAAUCUAGAAGGGUCCCAGGGGCAAUGACAGAUGAUGAGUUCUUCUCAUCCUGCAAUGAGAAUGAAACAGAGAGUGAGGAGCUUAAUGACAUUUUGACAGAAGAAGAAAGGAGGCAACUUGAAGUUGCCCUUAAAUUGGAUUCAUCGGAAUUGACCAAUGAGAAUGGUGACGGGAUUAUUGCUCAUCGUCAUAGCUGUUAUGAACAUAGAGAGAUUCCUAUUGAAGAUGGGAAUAGUUGUAGAAAUGGAGAGACUAAACAGGAAAAGAAAGGAUGGUUUGGUGGAUGGAGGAAACGAGAUUCUAAAGUUGAAGGGCAGAAGAAAAUUGUUCCACCAAGAAGUUCUCUUUGUGUUGAUGAGAAGGUGAGUGACUUACUAGGGGACUCGCCAUCUGGAAGUCAGACUAAACCAGGAAGACAUUCUGUCGAGAUUGUUGUGAGGGAUGAGCACCGGAAAGGAAGAGAUACCAAGAUAUCUACUUCUUCGAGUAUUGAGAGCAGUAAUCGUCGCAGGGAAGGAAGCCGUGAGAAUGAAUAUAAAAAGGGAUUGAGGCCAACUCUUUGGCUUUCACCAAACUUCCCAUUACAAACUGAGGAACUUCUUCCAUUGCUUGACAUCCUUGCAAAUAAGGUUAAGGCAAUUCGUCGUUUAAGAGAGCUGCUUACAACGAAACUUCCAAUGGGAACCUUUCCUGUGAAGGUUGCUAUCCCAGUGGUACCCACCAUCAGAGUAUUGGUUACAUUCACGAAGUUUGAAGAAUUACAGCCACUGGAUGAAUUUGCAACGCCUCCUUCAAGUCCUACAGCUGCUGGACGAGAAAGCCCAGCAGUGACACAGUCCUCAAGUUCAUCCUGGUUUCAGUGGAUAAAAGCUCCUUACCAUCGCCCUAGCGCAUCAGCUGGUGGUUCUAGCAGUAGGAUAGAGAACAUUCAGGACCCAUUUGUUAUUCCUCCUGAUUAUACAUGGAUUUCAGCUGAAGCAAAGAAAAAGAAGAUGCAGGAGAAAAACAAAUCGAAAAAGGCAAAAAGUCAGAAUCAUUGAAGUGGGUUUGUGAGUGAAUCAAAAUGUAAAAGAGGUUUUAGCUUGCACAAAGAACUCAGCAAGUACCAAAUAGGGCAUAGUGUUUCAUAAGAACAUGAAAUUGUGAUACUAUAACGGAAAAAGAUUGAUCCCUUUAUGGAGGGAGAUUUGGUAUAUCAUUGUGGGGGGUGGAAAGAAAGAAAGGAAUAUUAUGAUUCGUGCAACAAUUGCUCGCCUUCAGUGGAUGUGUACGCCAUUGAGAUUGCUUUGAUUCAUUUUCUUCUUAUGUGUGACUGAUUUGUUAACUCCUACAAUACUGACUGACAAAAAUGUAGAGUAUAUCAUGAGCCAUCUUUCAUCUUAUUUACAGCCUCAGACUUUCAUGUCAUUCUUCUGGAGCUAUUUUCGUGACUUUCACAAUUUACAUUUUUGUUCAUAGCGUUGUGAGUUUUCUUUUGUGAAAAUUCAUGGAUUUUACUUGUCCUAGGGGAUUCCUUGUGUUUUUAGUAUCUAAAGGUCAGGUUUAAUUGUAAAUGGUAGUGAAGAGUAGACAAACAAUUUCAACAUGAAAGUUGAUUCUACAGUUUACAAUGUAAUAAAAUGAAAUGAACUUUUAUAAGUUUUUGGCUCAUAGCAUAGAUCUUUGAACUCCCACAUUAAGGACUGGUGAGUAGUUAUUUGGAGCUUCAUCAUCUCUGUACCUGGUGAGUAGUUAAAAGAAGUUUGUCUCAAACGUCCCACGAGCUCCUUUUUUAAACUAAAUUUCUAGAGUUUAUUGUAGAGAACGAAAAAGAAAGAAAGAAAUAAUAAAGACGCUACUACUUGCAAACCAGUGGAAUCGAUUUCAUUUUAGUGACUUCUUUACAUUUUGAUUUUCUUCUGCACAUUUUUCUGUUUUCAAUGUGCUAGAGCUUGCUAAAUUGAAUGGCUUCAGUCUGAUUGCAGCAGGAGGCUAGAAUGUGAAUACUGUCAAAUGUUAUCCACCUGCUCUCUUUCCUCAAUCAGAAUACAAUUGUUGGUGGAAGUAACAUAUAUUUAUUUACGAACUUUUUGGCAUUUGGCAUAUAAGCACGGGAAGUUUCUGGAGGUGGCCGGGUGGGAAAUUGUUGCCAAUAACCAGCACUUUGUGGGAAAGCUGAUGAUAAUAUGAGAUAUAUACUUGAACAACUUGUGUUUAGAAAACUUUCGGUUGGGUUGGCCAUCCAAAUGAAAGUUUGCUUAGUUUUUACUUUAGAGCAGGCGAUCCCUGGCUUAGCUUCUCUUUUCUUGGAGGAAUUCUUGCUUCAUUGAAUUGUACAAAUACAAGAGUUUCUUACUCCUUCGAGUUCCCCGUCUUCAGACAAGCUUGGCUCAAACUCAUGAACAUGAGCAAUAUCAUUGCCAUGAGCAUCAGGCCAACUCACUUUCCUCUUUCCUGUUCUUGAUUGAUUAAUUUCCUCCACUGUUGUGGUUCUCUUGAGAUUACUCUUGAGAGUUGGGGGUUCGAUGUGAGGCCCAUUAGACCCACCGCUUCUACCGUUGCUCCCACCAUUGCUCUUUUCUUGACCUUGUGAUUCAUGAUUAUUAGAGACUUCUUCCAUGACCCCAUCUGUCUUUUCUUCAAGAAUUUGGUUCUUGGCAUUGUUGCUUCUGUUGUUUUCUUCCCCUUUAGUGCUAAAGCUCCUUGAAGGUGCAUAGCACGAGCGCACUAGAGCUGUGCACCUAUUCUGCGCCGAGGCCGCCAGGAGUACGGUAAACAAGGUUAAACUCUCUUUAUCGAUAUAUUGUUUUCCUUUUCUUGAUACUACGAACAGUCUCUUGGAGCUAUGUGUGCAAUAUUGGAUUGGUUUGUUCCAGAUCAAACAAAUGAAAUCAAUGGAGAGAAUCUGUAUAAUGUUAAAACGGUAUAUGUGGGUUAUCUCCAAAUGAUUAUGAGUGUUUUGCUUUGCAUCUAACAAAGCGGAUGGAGAUGACCUUAUUUUUUGAGGUGGGGUUGUGUUGGGUUCUCAGGUUGGGGAAAGACGGUUGGAUAUUAGAAGAAGGUGCUAAACUGCUAAUCAUGGACAUGCCCUCCACCCACUUAC
rnacentral:misc_RNA from 1 species